AAGUCGUAACAAGGUUUCCGUAGGUGAACCUGCGGAAGGAUCAUUACCUUUCAAUGCAGCAGAAUUGGGAUGGUUGAGUAUCUCGCCUCUCCGUUCUGCCUGUAUUCUACCCUUGUUUGUCAUAUACUAUUCUUUCCUCGGUAGGCUUGCCUGCCGAGUGAAACCAUUUAUAACCUUUUUAAUUUUCAAUCAGCGUCUGAAAAAAAUUAAUAAUUACAACUUUCAACAACGGAUCUCUUGGUUCUG
rnacentral:misc_RNA from 1 species